rnacentral:rRNA from 1 species
AACGAACGCUGGCGGCAGGCUUAACACAUGCAAGUCGAACGGGUGUAGCAAUACAUCAGUGGCAGACGGGUGAGUAACACGUGGGAACCUUCCUAGGGGUACGGAACAACUCAGGGAAACUUGAGCUAAUACCGUAUACGUCCGUGAGGAGAAAGAUUUAUCGCCCUUAGACGGGCCCGCGUCGGAUUAGCUAGUUGGUGGGGUAACGGCCUACCAAGGCGACGAUCUGUAGCUGAUCUUAGAGGAUGAUCAGCCACACUGGGACUGAGACACGGCCCAGACUCCUACGGGAGGCAGCAGUGGGGAAUCUUGGACAAUGGGCGCAAGCCUGAUCCAGCCAUGCCGCGUGAGUGAAGAAGGCCUUCGGGUUGUAAAGCACUUUAGGUGGGGAAGAAAGGUAAUGAGUGAAUAACUGAUUGCUUUGACGGUACCCGCAGAAUAAGCACCGGCUAA